rnacentral:rRNA from 1 species
AGAUCGCAUGAUCUUGAUAUUAAAGAAUUUCGGUUAUCGAUGGGGAUGCGUUCCAUUAGUUAGUUGGCGGGGUAACGGCCCACCAAGACGACGAUGGAUAGGGGUUCUGAGAGGAAGGUCCCCCACAUUGGAACUGAGACACGGUCCAAACUCCUACGGGAGGCAGCAGUGAGGAAUAUUGGUCAAUGGACGAGAGUCUGAACCAGCCAAGUAGCGUGAAGGAUGACUGCCCUAUGGGUUGUAAACUUCUUUUAUAUGGGAAUAAAACAGGGUAUGCAUACCCUCUUGUAUGUACCAUACGAAUAAGGAUCGGCUAACUCCGUGCCAGCAGCCGCGGUAAUACGGAGGAUCCGAGCGUUAUCCGGAUUUAUUGGGUUUAAAGGGAGCGUAGGUGGAUUGUUAAGUCAGUUGUGAAAGUUUGCGGCUCAACCGUAAAAUUGCAGUUGAAACUGGCAGUCUUGAGUACAGUAGAGGUGGGCGGAAUUCGUGGUGUAGCGGUGAAAUGCUUAGAUAUCACGAAGAACUCCGAUUGCGAAGGCAGCUCACUGGACUGCAACUGACACUGAUGCUCGAAAGUGUGGGUAUCAAACAGGAUUAGAUACCCUGGUAGUCCACACAGUAAACGAUGAAUGCUCGCUGUUUGCG